rnacentral:rRNA from 1 species
GACGAACGCUGGCGGCGUGCCUAACACAUGCAAGUCGAACGGAAAGGCCCUGCGUUUGUGGGGUGCUCGAGUGGCGAACGGGGGAGUAACACGUGAGUAACCUGCCCUUGACUUUGGGAUAAAUUCAGGAAACUGGGGCUAAUACCGGAUAGGAGCUCCUGCUGCAUUGUGGGGGUUGGAAAGUUUCGGCGGUUGGGGCUGGACUCGCUGGUUAUCAGCUGGUUGGUGGGGUAGGGGCUUACCAAGCCUUUGACGGGUAGCCGGCCUGGGAGGGGUGCCGGCCACAUUGGGACUGCGAUACGGCCCAGACUCCUACGGGAGGCAGCAGUGGAGAAUAUUGCACAAUGGGCGGAAGCCUGAUGCAGCAACGCCGCGUGCGGGAUGACGGCCUUCGGGUUGUAAACCGCUUUCGCCUGUGACGAAGCGUGAGUGACGGUAAUGGGUAAAGAAGCACCGGCUAACUACGUG